rnacentral:rRNA from 1 species
GACGAACGCUGGCGGCGUGCUUAACACAUGCAAGUCGAACGGAAAGGCCCUGCUUUUGUGGGGUGCUCGAGUGGCGAACGGGUGAGUAACACGUGAGUAACCUGCCCUUGACUUUGGGAUAACUACAGGAAACUGGGGCUAAUACCGGAUAGGAGCUCCUGCUGCAUGGUGGGGGUUGGAAAGUUUCGGCGGUUGGGGAUGGACUCGCGGCUUAUCAGCUUGUUGGUGGGGUAGUGGCUUACCAAGGCUUUGACGGGUAGCCGGCCUGAGAGGGUGACCGGCCACAUUGGGACGGAGAUACGGCCCAGACUCCUACGGGAGGCAGCAGUGGGGAAUAUUGCACAAUGGGCGGAAGCCUGAUGCAGCAACGCCGCGUGCGGGAUGACGGCCUUCGGGUUGUAAACCGCUUUCGCCUGUGACGAAGCGUGAGUGACGGUAAUGGGUAAAGAAGCACCGGCUAACUACGUGCCAGCAGCCGCAGUAAUAC